rnacentral:rRNA from 1 species
AUACGUAGGGGGCGAGCGUUGUCCGGAAUGAUUGGGCGUAAAGGGCGCGUAGGCGGCGCGGUAAGUCUGGAGUGAAAGUCCGGCUUUCGAGGUGGGAAUUGCUUUGGAUACUGCCGCGCUUGAGUGCAGGAGAGGUUUUCGGAAUUCCCGGUGUAGCGGUGAAAUGCGUAGAGAUCGGGAGGAACACCAGUGGCGAAGGCGGGUAACUAGACUGCAACUGACGCUGAGGCGCGAAAGUGUGGGGAGCAAACAGGAUUAGAUACCCUGGUAGUCCACACUGUAAACGAUGAAUGCUAGGUGUAAGAGGUAUCGACCCCUUUUGUGCCGGAGUCAACACAAUAAGCAUUCCGCCUGGGGAGUACGGCCGCGAGGUUGAAACUCAAAUGAAUUGGCGGGG